GAUGAACGCUGGCGGCGUGCCUAAUACAUGCAAGUCGAGCGAACAGACGAGGAGCUUGCUCCUUUGACGUUAGCGGCGGACGGGUGAGUAACACGUGGAUAACCUACCUAUAAGACUGGGAUAACUUGGGGAAACCGGAGCUAAUACCAGAUAACAUGUUGAAACGCAUGGUUCAACAGUGAAAGAGGGUUUUGCUGUCACUUAUAGAUGGAUCCGCGCCUCAUUAGCUAGUUGGUAAGGUAACGGCUUACCAAGGCAACGAUGCGUAGCCGACCUGAGAGGGUGAUCGGCCACACUGGAACUGAGACACGGUCCAGACUCCUACGGGAGGCAGCAGUAGGGAAUCUUCCGCAAUGGGCGAAAGCCUGACGGAGCAACGCCGCGUGAGUGAAGAAGGUCUUCGGAUCGUAAAACUCUGUUAUUAGGGAAGAACAAAUGUGUAAGUAACUAUGCACGUCUUGACGGUACCUAAUCAGAAAGCCACGGCUAACUACGUG
rnacentral:rRNA from 1 species